GUACUCACUCCUGUAGUACAAAUAUUAAAAUUCAGAUGUUACAGAGAAGAUUGGAAUGGCACUGUGCAUGGAUGACUGGAGAAUUCAUGAAGUGUUCCAUCCUUUA
rnacentral:snRNA from 1 species